rnacentral:rRNA from 1 species
AACACGUGGGCAACCUGCCUGUAAGACUGGGAUAACUUCGGGAAACCGGAGCUAAUACCGGAUAAUCCUUUCCCUCACAUGAGGGAAAGCUGAAAGACGGUUUCGGCUGUCACUUACAGAUGGGCCCGCGGCGCAUUAGCUAGUUGGUGAGGUAACGGCUCACCAAGGCGACGAUGCGUAGCCGACCUGAGAGGGUGAUCGGCCACACUGGGACUGAGACACGGCCCAGACUCCUACGGGAGGCAGCAGUAGGGAAUCUUCCGCAAUGGACGAAAGUCUGACGGAGCAACGCCGCGUGAGCGAAGAAGGCCUUCGGGUCGUAAAGCUCUGUUGUUAGGGAAGAACAAGUAUCGGAGUAACUGCCGGUACCUUGGCGGUACCUAACCAGAAAGCCACGGCUAACUACGUGCCAGCAGCCGCGGUAAUACGUAGGUGGCAAGCGUUGUCCGGAAUUAUUGGGCGUAAAGCGCGCGCAGGCGGUCUC